rnacentral:tRNA from 1 species
GCCUUCGUGGUGUAGUGGUCAGCACGCUCGACGCGUAACCGAGAGGUCCGUGGUUCGAUUCCCGGCGAAGUA